UACGUAGGUGGCAAGCGUUGUCCGGAUUUACUGGGCGUAAAGAGCGCGCAGGCGGUCGUUCAAGUCGCGUGUGAAAGCCCCCGGCUCAACUGGGGAGGGUCACGCGAUACUGAUCGACUCGAAGGCAGGAGAGGGUAGUGGAAUUCCCGGUGUAGUGGUGAAAUGCGUAGAUAUCGGGAGGAACACCAGUGGCGAAGGCGGCUUCCUGGACCGGUUCUGACACUGAGGAGCGAAAGCGUGGGGAGCGAGCCGG
rnacentral:rRNA from 1 species